rnacentral:rRNA from 1 species
GUACGGGGGGGGCAAGCGUUGUUCGGAAUUACUGGGCGUAAAGGGCGCGUAGGCGGCAAUUCAAGUCAGCUGUGAAAUCUCCGGGCUUAACUCGGAACGGUCAGCUGAUACUGCUUUGCUAGAGUGCGGAAGGGGCAAUCGGAAUUCUCGGUGUAGCGGUGAAAUGCGUAGAUAUCGAAGAGGGAACACCUGAGGUGAAGACGGGUUGCUGGGCCACACUG